rnacentral:rRNA from 1 species
AAUCAACGCUGGCGGCGUGCCUCAGACAUGCAAGUCGAACGCGAAAGUUUCCUUCGGGAGACAAGUAGAGUGGCGCACGGGUGAGUAACACGUAGGUAAUCUACCUUCGGAUGGGGAAUAACAAUCGGAAACGGUUGCUAAUACCGCAUAAUGCAGCGGCACCUAAUGGUGACAGUUGUUAAAGCGGGGGAUCGAAAGACCUCGCGUCUGAAGAGGAGCCUGCGGCGGAUUAGCUAGUUGGUAAGGUAAUGGCUUACCAAGGCGACGAUCCGUAACCGGCCUGAGAGGGCGGUCGGUCACACUGACACUGACAUACGGGUCAGACUCCUACGGGAGGCAGCAGUCGGGAAUCUUGCGCAAUGGGCGAAAGCCUGACGCAGCGACGCCGCGUGAGGGAUGACGGCCUGG